rnacentral:rRNA from 1 species
GAUGAACGCUAGCGGCAGGCUUAAUACAUGCAAGUCGUGGGGCAGCAGGUUUGUAGCAAUACAGAUGCUGGCGACCGGCAAACGGGUGCGGAACACGUACACAACCUUCCUUUAAGUGGGGAAUAGCCCAGAGAAAUUUGGAUUAAUACCCCGUAACAUUAUGAUGUGGCAUCACAUUAUAAUUAUAGCUACGGCGCUUAAUGAUGGGUGUGCGGCUGAUUAGGUAGUUGGCGGGGUAACGGCCCACCAAGCCUGCGAUCAGUAACUGGUGUGAGAGCACGACCAGUCACACGGGUACUGAGACACGGGCCCGACUCCUACGGGAGGCAGCAGUAAGGAAUAUUGGGCAAUGGAGGAAACUCUGACCCAGCCAUGCCGCGUGGAGGAUGAAGGUCCUCUGGAUUGUAAACUUCUUUUAUAUGGGACGAAAAAGGGUCUUUCUAGGUCAACUGACGGUACCAUAUGAAUAAGCACCGGCUAACUCCGUGCCAGCAGCCGCCGUAAAAC